CCGCGAGCAGCCGAGCCGAGUCGGCAGGUGCGCGCCGACCUGGAGCCUGCGAGGCGCCCCCAUAGCCUGGGGGCCUUUUGCAACACGUCCUUGGAGGAGGCGACGUUGCCUUUACAUUUCGGUGAACAUUUGUAUAUGAUGGAGUUAAACACAAAAUUUGCAAACUAUUUGGAGGAUAUAAAAGGAUCUUGAGUUAGUGCUCUGGCUACUACCCUCACCAGGGCAUGUGCCCACGGCAGGACGGGGACCAAGGAAGAGGAUGGACAGAUCUCGAGCUGAGAAGAGGACGAGGGCCCAGGACCGAGCUCUCAGCGGCUCUAGCUGGCACCUAUGGCCCAGGAGGAGAAGGAUGAGCCCGCAGAGGGACUCAUGCUCUAUGAGCAGUCAGGAAACAGCUCUGUCGCUCAGAAGCCACGGGAAGACUUCAGAAGCGGGAGAGUAGGCAUCCGUCUGAUCUCGGAGGAACCCCCAUCCGGCCCACGACUGCUUGAGGAAUGUGCGAGUGACCCGGCCAGUAAGACGUGAGGGAGAAGUCAGAGGAAGCUUCCAAGGGAUGUUUGCCUUUUCCCAAGAGAGAGCAGGAGAUGAUGCAGAAUCACUUAGUCCCCGGACCCACAAUAAUCACAACUACCUCGCGACAGAGCCAGCAGAUAGAAGUUCAAAAACUUUGAGUUUGGAAUGGAGAAUAUCCCAAGACCCGGAUCCCUUGUAAGUAUGUACUAUGAAAAGCAGAUUGAGGAUGGACUCCUGCAAUGUUCCAGAAGAUUCUGGGCCAGGAAGAGUCUACUAGAUCUGAAAGAAACUGGCUAGAGGCUCACUGCAGAGCUUCAGAUCACUAGACAGGCAGCUCCCCCUGGACCACCGCCCCCACUGGGCAGGUCACAUUCCUUUUCUGGGAGGCAAAGUGUGUCCAGCCAGGUCCUGGGGAGCAGAUGACAGUCCCCGGGGCAGGUUACCAAUGUGCUGUGUGAACAGAGAUGAAGAGAAUUGUUCAGGGUCUUGGGGAAAGUGGGGCAGCUGUUGGAAGGAUUCCAGGGGAUGUGUUGCCUACAGAGGCUCGGCAAUCAUUAAAAGGAUGGCUCCAACCCCAGGCGAUGGCUCCCCAUCAUGGUCCACAGUGGUACCCAACGUGCGACCUGCUGGGAAGUAACCUGCUGGGAAGAUUCUUGCUCAUUCACCGAACAAAUAGCACAGUACUGGUGCUGGGUGCAGAGAUGAGGAAGCCAAAGUCCUGGGACUGUCAGAGAUAUUCUGGAGGGGCUCAGAUCAUAGUCACAUGAGUGUGAGUGAUGAUACCUGCUAAAAACAAAGUAGGGGAGAGGGGUAAGGAAGAUUGGAUGAGCAGAAGGUGCCGGGAUGGAUAUGGGGAAGUCAGGGAAGGCACGAAGGUCUGGAAAUGGAAGUUCAGUUAAUGUGGCUGCUAGGAAGGGACUCCAAUCUCCCCAAAAUAACAUCUGGCUCUCCCUGGGGGUCCAGUGGACCCAUAAAGCCCAGCCUCAGCCAUCUCUUGUACUGCUGCAUCAUGGGACCAAGGCCUUUGGACCAAGGCUUUUUCCCCGUCUUCUUAGAUUACGCCAUUGUAAAAAAAAGCCUAAGCGUGCUACCCCCCUUACCCCACUUAAACAAUGCUACUCAGGACAGCUUUGUAAUGAAGGGGAAAUGCCCACAGAGAUUCCUCCUAUGUCUCUUGAGGAGGGAAGUGGAGAGACGGAAAUGCAUUUGUUGGAGGGCUGGUUUGGGAGCGAGCAGUUCGACAGGCCUAGUGGUGGACUGGCCACGCCAUCUGCCUCCGUGGUCCCCUUGACCUUGGGGACAUCAUUACCUCAUGGGUCCUACCAAGGUCCAUUCCAUGUAACUUCCUUCUUCCCUGCCCUUCCUGGUUGUGGCAGGCUUUGGUUUGCCCCCGAUCCAGCAGUUACACACUCAUGAGGAAUCACAGAUUCUGAGCUGUGUGGUGUCUCCAGGAGCAUCCAACUCCAGAAAUCAACUGAAGGGGCCAGGAACUCACGUCCGUUUGCACAGAGACAGGAGUUUUGUCCUGAGGGUCACCCAGGACUAAGGAGGCGGUAAACGUGGAUUUUGUUUUUGUUUUGUUUUGUUUUGUUAUGUUUUUAAAGAACAGCCUUAAAAUAGAUGAACUUUCGUUAGAAAAGGAUGGACAGCUCAGAAUCAAGAAGGCUUCUGAUCCUUCCUUUUGUGCUACUUCCUACCUCUGCCCAUACUUGCCUCAGGCCUUUCUAAAAAAAGAGAUUAUAAAUUAAAUAAAACUGUGAUGGGAGAAGAAAAACACAGCAAGGUCCUGAGAUUGAGGACAACUAAGUAUUAUCAGGAAAUUUGAAUAAUAGCAUUUUAAACCAGGAGAAUAGAAAAAAAAAAAAAGCAAAGUAUCAGUACUGAAAUAUUACUUUUA